rnacentral:lncRNA from 1 species
AAAAGAGAGUUGCUGAGUUAGCCAUAUCACAGAAAAUAGAUGAAAGACACCAUCGCCGCCGGGUUUUAACAGGUAUCGCCGGAAACAAUGGCUUCACGUAUUAUAGAUGGAGAUUUCGACGCCGGUUAGAUGAACGGUCUAAGCAUUCGCUGGAAAAAAAAAGAAAAGAAAAAAAGCAAUCUUCGGCGACGCUAAGAGAAUAGGAAACGGAAGUGUUUCUGAAAAAGGUAGUCCAGCAAGUAACAAUAUCACAAAGCCCAUAUGAAUUAAAGCUCUGCGUUUUGGGAGAAACGGGACACGUGUCGGCUCCAGGGAGCUUGAAUUGAUGACGUGGCAUCCGAGCUGGACCCUCUGGGAGUGAUUCAAAGUCUUCUUUAUAUAUAAAGAUAUAUAUAUAUAUAUAUAUAUAUAUGUAUGUAUUUUCCAAUCCACCAUAUUUGAUUUAAAUUAUUCACUAUUUACUUAAUUGGUUCGACACAACAAAAUUUGUUCACAUUCAGGGAUAACUAUUAGAAGGUCGGCUCACCGGAAACAUUCAACCGAAUGAUUCAAAAAACUUAACCGAAGGAGAUAUAUAUGAGUUUUCAGGAUUUUCUGUCAUACAUAAUUCACGACAUCGGAAACUUACCCAACUGCCGUAUUACAUUCAGAUCGACCAAAAGACAAUAACAUUGAACGUUACAGUCAACGGUCCGAUAUUUCCAGUUCACAAUUUAUCUCCUCAAAAUUACAGAAAUCUAUUGCGGUUAGCCACUACACCCACAUACUUACCAGGUAAGUAAGUCAUUCCAGUAUUAAUUAAACAAACAUGGAUGUUUAUUCUAAAAUCAAUGUGCAGAUGUCGUCGGGCAGAUAGUCAUAAUACAAAAAAUAAAACCGUACCAUCCAGAACUCAAUAUUGAUGCCACGAUUGGUCUAUGGCUGAACAGGUAAGUCUAACACAAUAGUUAAAAACGAAAUAAUAAUUAUCUUCAUACAUACAUCUCUAUCUCAGGUCGACAAUUGUUAAACUCAUACUGUGCGACAAGCAAGCAGCAAAUUUUAGCAUCCUACAAAGCAAGAAGGAUAGGAAAUUUAAAGUUGUCAUCAUCACAAGCAUAAUUCCUAAACUUUUCCAAGGUAAAUAAUUUUGUUAAACACAUCAAAACAUAAUACAUAUCUAUUUUUUUUUAUCAACAGAACAAUAAUAUUCAAUAUUUUCCAUGCAAACUACUACUCAGUUCAUCACCAGCAACAAAAUUUCUACUUCAACAAAUCAAUUGAUUACAUAAAGCAUUUCAAAAGGCAAAUAAGAGAUCAUGCAAAACCAUGCAGCAAAGAGUGAUUCUAAUUCAUUCAUCAUUCGGAUUGUUAUUCUCUUUCUCACAAGACUUGAUACCUAGAUUUAUUUACAUUUUAAACUAUUUUAUCAUUGUUUUCUUUAGAUUUCUACUUCUAUAUAAAAUCUAAAACUCAACUUCUGUCUUUCAAUCUUUGCUAAGCAAUUUAAAUAUAUAGAAAAUAAAUUAAAAAACAUAAGUGAUGUCUACGUGUUAGUGAGCAAGAAAGCAUGAUUAGAGUGAAUAAGAAGUCUACUAUAAAGAUGAAGGUUAUUAAGAGAAAAAAUUGUGUAGAGUUUGUGAAUUUUCAAAAUUUACUUGGAUAAGAAAAUAUAUAUACACUGACUUACAAAAUUUGAUCAAACUUUUGUAAAUUGCUACUUCUUGAAUAUUUUUCGAAUUAUUUCGAAUUUGUUUCUCUAUAUUUUUCAAAUUGAAACUAUUUUUAUUUUAAAUUUGAAAAGAAUUUCGAUUUUUUAUAACAUAUAAUUUGAAAGCUAUAUUAAACUUAAAAUAUAUAAUUUCAAUUUUCAGUUUUCCACUAUUACACGUAAAAAUAUGAUUACGUACGCUUUUUUUUAAAAGAAGGUUUUAUAUUUUAAAUAGGUUAUUGGAGUACUUUUUAUUUUCGUAAAUUUAUUCGAGAUGAGAUUCCGAUCUUUUAAAAUAAGAGACUUUAUGUUCUAUACAUAAUUAUAUUGUUUUAGAUUUCUUCAUAUUUUAAUAGUUAAUUGUGUUACAUAUAAUAUAAAUACUUAUUUCAAACUAAAAUAUUUAAAAAACAAAUUUUAAAAUUAGUUAAGUUAAGUUAAAAAUGAUAAAUGUAACAAAUUUAAUAUAUUAUCCGGAUCUAGUAUAUUUAAGAUGAAAGGAGAGCAUAACAUACUUAAUACAAUUUAUUUAUUUAUUAAUAUACAUAUAAAUUACAAGAUGGCUUAAAAUUAUAAACAAAAAUAAAUAUUUACCUAUUAGUUUUAUAAAAUAUUUGUAUCAUGAGUAAUCACCUAGUUCAUAAUAAUGGGAAGUUGAAUGAUUACAAAUGUGUUAAAAGUUUUUUUUUUUUUAUCAAACAAAUGUGUUAAAGUUAACGUCGUUGAAUCUUCCAUGAAUCUUCCUCUCAACUUUGUGUCUUCUUAUUUACUUACUUGUCUUUGGACUCUUUUAUGUGGUUCUGUGUCAUCGUUGAAUAUUCCUCUCCACUCGCCUCUUCUUAUCUAUUUACUCGUCUUUGGAUUCUUUUGUGUUGUUUUGCUUCAUUGUUGUUAUUUUUCUCUUUGCUCGAAAUCAUUAUUGUGUUCCUGUUCUUCAGUUUCUUGAGUUUUCUCUCUAAUUCAUGGCUUCUUCUUCUUCUUCUUCUUCUCUCACGUGGACGCAUGAUGUCUUCCCGAGAGACUUUGCAUAAGUAAUGUUUUAUCUAUCUCAAAAUUUGACAGCUCCAGAUAUGUUGGUUUACCGUUCACGACGAUCCAUAGAUUUCAUGCAUUCUUCAUGUUCUCCUGUGCAUAGAAAAAUUAUGGCAUAGAGAUAGUUACUGAGAUAAUUACCUUUACCACAAUGGUUGUUUGCCAAUAUGCAAAGAUGUUUCAGCCUUGUUGAGGGUUUUUUUCAUUGCCAAAAUGUUUUGUUUUUCUAAUAUUAAUUCUUGUACAGAAAAAACAAUUUUUUUGCAUUAAUUUUAAAUUAAAAAAUUAUAAUGAUUAAUUUAUUUUCAAUUAAAAUAUUUCUCUAUUUUCAUUUCAUUUUCUUAUUUAUAUUAAUAUUUACUCAAAAUAUAGUUGUUUCAUCAUUAAAAUUUAUAAAAAUGUGAUUGUUUUAAUUUUGUUCCCAAUAUUUGUUCUAUUUUAACUUUGUUAUUAAGUAAAAUAGUUUUAAAAAUGUACUCGAUUAUGUUCAACACAUAAAACAUGAAUUAAAUUUUGAUGUUAAUUUUCUGAAUUUGGCGACACUUUUUUCUUUUAUACAUUUUCUUUAAAUUACUAAGUCAUACAAUGCGAAAAUAGGUUAUUUAUUAUAAUAAAAUUACUUUAAAUAGGUAGGUACAGGAAAACCUAUACAAAUUAUAAUUUUUUAUAAAUAUAUAUAUGUUUAAAUUUUAAAUGUUAUUAUUUUUAAAAUAAAAUAAAUCAUGUUUUCUGAAUUAAUAAUUACGGUUUCAAAGUAAAUGAUGCUGAUUAAUUUUAAAAUUUGAUUUUACAUUGAAUUUAUUAUAACCAAUUUAUGUUAUUUUUUUAAUUGGAUAUAUCUUAUUAGUAAAUAAAUAUUUUAUUUGUAAGAUAUUAUAAUUUUUUAAAAUUAAUUACUUUAUAUAUAAAAUAUUCAAAAUUACUAUACAUUUAUAGUGAAUGACAUUUAGCCAUCAAAUUUAUAUCAUUUAAAUAGAAGUUCUAAAUUUAUUACAAAUAUAUUAAUAUAACUAAAUUUAUUAAUUACAUUAGUUUAAAUAAAUUAUAAUGUAUUUUUGGCGAUGUAAAAUGUUAAAUGAUUUUUGUAUCUCUUUUUUAUUAUUCACAUGUAAGUAAAUUAUAGAAAACGGUAAUAACAUUUUAUAGGGGAAAUUUCAUGUUUACCACUUUCAUGGUACCUCUUUUCAUUUUUACAUCCACUAAAGGGACAUUUUCAAAAAUACAUUCUUCAAUAAGUGGCAAAAGACUCUUAUACUUUUGUUCUCUAUAUAUAUAAUAAAUCAUUAUUUAAAUAAAUAAAAACAAAUAAAAAAAUCUAUUUUGUUCAUGUUUUCGAAUUAUACUUGUUCAAAUUCGAAUUUUUUUAUAAUUUUUUUUUGAAUUUUUUUUUUGAACUUUUUUUAUUUUUUUCAAAAUUUUUUUUUGAAAAUCGAAAAUUAUGUAUGAAACUAUUUUUAAUUUUUUUUAAAAAAUGUUAAGUAUUUAUUUAUAUAUUUAUUAGAAUCCUUAAUUGCAUAUUCCAAACAUCCUACCUCAACUCUAAACCCUAAGUCUAGAUUAGUUAACCUUAUGGAUAUAAGUGUCUUUUACUCUUCUUUAAAAAUGAGGGUAAAAGUGAUUAGUGUAGACAUGAAAAAUGGUAUUAUGAAUGUGGUAUUUGUGGUAAUUUCUUCAUUUUAUAUUCAAUUGACAAAAAGUACUUUGUGUUCAAAAUGUACCAUUGAAUAAAUAUUUAUGGAUUAUUUUUAUAAAACGUGUUAAAAUAUUUGGUUUAGAUGUGUGUUAAACAAAAGUUAUGGAUGAUUUUAUAAUUCUUGACGUAAUUUGCUGACCUAUCAGUUUUUCCUUCACCUAUUAGAAAUAAUUAUACUAACUGUUCAAAGUUUCAAACGAAUAUUCAGUUUCAAACAUAUUACACCACUUUCAAAAAUAAGUUUCGAACCCACGUUGUACUAACUUAUUGAUGAAAGAUGCUGACAUCACAAGUUUACAACAAUAACAGAGAAGAAAAAACAACUUGCAAUAAAAAUCUUAAACAAACACAAAUUGUAACUCAAGCUGAAAUAAAUACAAAAAGGAACCAAGAUACACUUAGUAAUUUCACGUGGAGAACACGUACGUGUUUCAGGUGCUACUUUCAGUUCCUGCAAUUUUGCAGAAACAACAAUUGCAUUGUGCACGAUCAUCUUCUUUUUGGAUAAAGAAUUCCCAUACUUUUGCUCUAUGAGCAAUUGAUUACCUUGGUUUUUGUGGAAGAGCAGAGCUUGGUCUUUCAGUUUCUUUUCUUCUCUUUCCAGCAAGAGAAGGUUCCGGAGCUUCUUCUCCUUGAAUCUCAUUGUCAAGCAUCGUUCUGAUCAUAAGAAGAAGUUAAAUCCAUCUGCAAAAAAGAAAAACAUUCACAAUCAGUUAUUUAUAAACACUUAAAACACUGCAAAACUUUUGUCUUUUAUCUAUAAAGAGUCUUUGUGUAGGACAAACAUGCGAGAGUCAAAAAUUUAUACAAACUUUUGGAAGUAUUGACGCCAGGAUAAUAUAACCACUGAUUUUGAUUGGAGAUCUGGUCUUCACUCCAAAUUUCAGUCCAAAGUCUCUAAGUCGUAAAUUAGUUGUCUUGAGAAAUUGAUCUCGCAAGCUAUUGUUUUACAUCAAAAACAAAUACAUAGACUCUUCGUACGGUUUGUCAUAUAGUAGAUUAUGUUCAAAGGUUUGUUUAUACUGACCUGCUUGUGUGUCGUGAAUCUCAGGCUCCGUCUCCUUUCACUCUGACUCUACAAUCCUGGAUCUCGCUCUUUCUUCUCCAGCUGAUCUCUCACCGUACCACCUCCUUAUGCACCUAUCGAAGACUAAUCUAUGACACAUAGGAACAAAACAAAUAAAAAUGCAUCAGCUAACAGAAAUAAAUGGAAAACCGAAUGAAAAAGGAGGAGGUUUAAGCAAUCAAUACCUAAAAAUAUGUCUAUGUUUUGUAUAUCCAUUUGAAGUAGGGAUGGUGGCUGAUGAUCUUCAAGCUUCCCUGCUAAACAUAAUAAGGAACUACAUAUACAUGAUAUGAAACUUUAAAAGAAGAAUUUGAAAAUAAUAUUUCCUCAAGUUUCGAUAUGAAACUGUCCCCUCGAACACUCGGAAUAUUUCUAUUAGUUCAUCCUAUGCUGAUUCCUAAACCAAAUUUCAUUUGGAGUUUUAUUAUCUGAGCUCGUUGAUUAAUCUUCACUGUAACUAAAAGGUUUUAGUGUAUACAUACUAUACCUGAGAGGUGUUUUGGGCCAUUAUAUAAAUGUCUCCAUUGCCAUCAAACGUAGAUGACGAUCAUCAUCUCCCAAAGUUCUGCAUUUCAAUUCUUCCACAUCGAUUUCAUCACUUUCUUUGGUUUCUCACGAACAGCAUAUAUAAAUAUCAGCUAAUCCAUCUUAUCAUCAGUUCCAUGGUCUGUUCGUAUAAAAGGUUGUAUUUUGAGUAAGACCAAAGUAAACAACGACAUACCAUCUGAGUCUUUGUCGAGGAGACAGAAAGCUUCGUAAAACUCUUGGUCUGCUCAUCGGUGAAAGCAACAGCUAUAGGUUAAAGCUUUCCGCCAUCUUCGAUCACAAACAGAAAAGAGAGUUGAUGAGUUAGCCAUAUCACAGAAAAUAGAUGAACUUUGGUGUUUUCACAGAAUGAGAAGAUGAUAUCGGAGUAAAGGAGGCUAACAUUUAUAUAACAGAUCGGGUGAGAAGUGGGAGAUGUUGUUGAUGAGGCGACGAUUGUAUGAAUCUGAUUAUCGUAAUGUUUCCAAGAAUUUAUUUUUUUGUUGGUGAGUUGGAAAUCAAUUGAAAGACACCAUCGCCGCCGGGUUUUAACAGGUAUCGCCGGAAACAAUGGCUUCACGUAUUAUAGAUGGAGAUUUCGACGCCGGUUAGAUGAACGGUCUAAGCAUUCGCUGGAAAAAAAAAGAAAAGAAAAAAAGCAAUCUUCGGCGACGCUAAGAGAAUAGGAAACGGAAGUGUUUCUCAAAAAGGUAGUCCAGCAAGUAACAAUAUCACAAAGCCCCUAUGAAAAAAACCCAUCUGAAUUAAAGCUCUGCGUUUUCGGAGAAACGGGACACGUGUCGGCUCCAGGGAGCUUGAAUUGAUGACGUGACAUCCGAGCUGGACCCCCUGGGAAUGAUUCAAGCUCUUCUUUAUAUAUAAAGAUAUAUAUUAGUAUUUAAUUAUGACUAUCUCAAAAAUACAGAAAGUUUAAUCCAAAGUAUUUUCUUUGAAGUAUUUUGGAUUGGGUUUCUCUUAAUUUUGAGAUAUUCACAAUUAAAUACUAAUACAUAUAUAUAUAUAUAUAUAUAUAUAUAUAUAUCCAAGGGACACACUUAAAAUAGCAUAAUUGUAAUCAACACUUUAAGCUGAGGUACAUGUAGUAAAAGAUCAAACGAGGGAGCAUCAGGCACAUAACAGACCCAUAGUACCGACUUCAGGACGAUGGUGCUUCAUAGAUGGUUCAUGGAAAGACAAGAACUUAUUUUCAGGGCAAGGCUGGUAUAGCACUUUACAGGGUUUUGAUGGUUUACUAGGGGCAAGGAAUGUAAGGGCAUGUCUUUCACCUCUACAUUCGAAGGUGGAGGUAUUAAGACAGUUUCAGGUUACGUUUGCAACAGAUUGUUCUCAAUUGGUGAAGAUGGUUUCAGAACCAGAAGAAUGACCAGCAUUUGGAAGUUACCUGGAAGACAUUAAGCUUUUAAAAAGAAGUUUCAUCAACUCAGACAUCGUUCAUGUACCCCGGACGGAGAACCUACGGGCGGAUAGCUUAGCACGCAGUGCUAGGAAACAACCGUCUUUCGUCAUUCAUACGGAUGCGGAGUUACCAAUUUGGUUUAAAGAGUCAAUAUGAGUCUAUAAAUGUUUGUUGCAAAAAAAAAACAUAUAUAUAAAUAUAUGUAUAUUGAAAACCAUGUUAAGAAUUCCCCAUUGGGGAUAUUCUAAUCGUCUAGUUAAUCAAUAGGAUGGCACCACGUAAGCCAUCAAACGACACCAUUCUGAUCACUACGAGUGAGUAGAUACAAACACUUCCAUGAAAAGUUUUGCUUAAUAACACCGUUAUGCAUUUUAUCAUAUUAGUAUAUUUUUAAAAAAUUUACACAUAUUAAAAAUAUUUUUGUUUUUAUAUUUUAUCUUGAUCUAAUAUAUUGUUUUAAAUUUUAAAUAACACAAUAAAAACUUCAAAAAUAUGCAAUCUUCGGCGACGCUAAGAGAAUAGGAAACGGAAGUGUUUCUCAAAAAGGUAGUCCAGCAAGUAACAAUAUCACAAAGCCCCUAUGAAAAAAACCCAUCUGAAUUAAAGCUCUGCGUUUUCGGAGAAACGGGACACGUGUCGGCUCCAGGGAGCUUGAAUUGAUGACGUGACAUCCGAGCUGGACCCCCUGGGAAUGAUUCAAGCUCUUCUUUAUAUAUAAAGAUAU